UCCAGCCCACUCUGAGGCAAGGAGAGAGCCCCAGUCCGAAAAGCAGAGAAACGCCACGCCAGCUCCUGCGGUCGCCUCCUGUCCUCACUCACCAUGUAGAGGGUGAAGGGGAAGCCGAGCAGGAAGAGCCACAGCUGACCUUUGGCAAAGAAGAUUUGUCUGCAUUGCUGAUCCUGGUUGUCCCUGAUCUUCUACCACUUGCUCAUCUGCUGUUUGAUUUUGUAUACUUACGUGUGGUUAUAUUGAUAUAUGGCUUCGGUAAUUUGGAUAUUUUGCAGUAUAAACCUAAACAGAGUCCCACCCUUCUGUGCCUGUUGAACAUGUUAUGCAGUACACACUAGUGGAAGAAAACAGAAGAAAACACAAAUCUCCCUGGGAAGAGAGUUCCAGAGUUUCGGUGCCACAGCCAGGAAAGCCCUCUCCCAGACUGCCACUUUACUAAUCUCAGAAGGUGGGGGCAUCCUAAGCAGGGCCUCCAAAGAUGACCACAGAGGUUGGGUAGGUUUAUAAACAGGCUCUAAAUAAAAAAGUCUGACCCAAGUUAUGAAAAUGACCAAUGAACACAA